AUGUACAUUGGGCUAACAGCGCUCUCAGUCAAGCAUAGAUGGGUCUGAAGACAUGCUGUGUACACAAUGACAGGCUUAGCUAGGAAAUUUAGAAUCCUUAUUGAGGGUCGCCGAUCAACUAAAAAACAUUUAAAAUUAAUUAAGUGGCUACAGAAAAAACUAAUCCUCAAGCAGAAGAUGAAAUGCAAAACCUGCAGAGGCAAAAUGAAAAUGACAAAGAAGUCUUGUGGAGACUACUAUGAAUGGUAAGUUGGUCUUCUUCUUAAGUUUACUGUCAAAUUUACUCUUGACUUUUUUGUUAAAGAAAUAUAUUAAUAUUUUAAUCUGCAGGAUGUGCAGAGGGGGCUUCAAUCACAGGAACAGAGUGAAGCAGUCUAUAAGGCACAAGUCAAUUUUCAGCCAGUCCAAGUUAUCUCUUUUUGAUUGGUCACGGUUCAUUUACAGGUUAUCACAAGGACUGCGUUUAAGACAGAUUGACAUGAUGAUGGAUGAGAUAUCAAGGAGUCCGACCUCUCUUUCAAAGAUGGCAAAGAAGCUACGAGAAGUAUGUAUUUUUGGCACUUAAUAGAAGAAGGAGAAGGAAGGGACAGCGAUUGGGUGGAAGACACGAGUAUGUGGUGAUCGACGAAAGCCACUUCAGACAUAAGAGAAAGUAUGGGAGAGGCAGAGCGGCUGGGGGUUGGAAAAGAAAAAAGUGGGUUUUUGGCAUGUUGGGCGUGAAGAAAAGUGAUGGGAAGAGUCAGAGACCAAUCCUGCGCCUGGUGGACCGGCGAACCAGACAAGAACUUGUCCCUUUGCUAUGCCGACAUGUAAAAAUGGGCUCUUACAUCAUUAGUGAUGAAUGGCGGUCAUACCGCGUACUUAAUGAUCUGGGGUUCAGACACUUGACUGUAAACCACAGUAUGCGGUAUAUGGAUCCUAUUACAUGAAACCAUACACAGCACAUUGAACGUGCUUGGCGAACUGUUAAGGAGCAGGUCUGGAGACAAAGGGGCAACCGGACAGAAGAACUGUUGUCAGACCACCUAAAUGUGAUUGAGUGGCAUGAAUGGAUUGCAAAAAAGUACCACAGUGGUCCAUUGGGUAGGAUUUUGCAUGACAUAGCAGAGAUGUACAAACAUCUCCGAAACACAUACACAGUCUUUCAUUAAAGGCACACCAGGUAAAAUUUUUAGGUUAAUUUAACAGCUUCUUAGUCACUGAUGGUUAAAUGGCUAAUUACCGAGUGAAUGGAGCGUCUCUCACCCAUCUCUAAAAACAUUGCCUUGAGUGCCUUUAAGAAACCUAUUAAAUCUUAAAAAAAAGCUAUUGGAGAGUUCUUUGUUAGAGAGUUAUAAAUAAAGUAUUUUCAUCCCCCUUCCCAACAGUGUGUGCUGAGAUCAUUCAUUUCCAGUGUGAAAGUUAAAAUAUUUGCUAUCGUUAAUAAAUGUUCUAAUAAAUAUUUGUAAAUAAUUAAUAAUUUCUAUUCCGACUUUAUUAUAAGGGUCCCCCAUACUGAUAGUUAUAUAUUACUAAUAUAUUAAUUAAGCUUAACCAACUUUAUUAUAAGGGUCCCCCAUACUGAUAGUUAUAUAUUACUAAUAUAUUAAUUAAGCUUAACCAACUUUAUUAUAAGGGUCCUCAAUACUAAUAGUUAUAUAUUACUAAUAUAUUAAUUAAGCUUAACCAACUUUAUUAUAAGGGUCCCCCAUACUGAUAGUUAUAUAUUACUAAUAUAUUAAUUAAACUUAACCAACUUCAUUGUAAGAGUCCUAUGAGGAGUGGUUCAUAUUGGGAUAGGCAGAAGCACAGUUUAAUAACAAUUAGUUAAAUAAUAAUAUGUCAUUAACUUUUAUAUUAACAUAUCGUUUGUAAAUAAACAUUUAACAUUUAAAUAAUGUAAGAAAUAACUGUUAAUUAGUGCCAAAAAUACAUUUAGUUAACUAUUAAUAAAUAUGAAUACAAUAUUAGUUAAUAGAUUGUUUUCUAUUUGUUAAAACAUUAACAUACAGAUUGUAUGCAAACAACUAAUAUUUAAUUAAUGAUGGAAAAACUAUUAACUUGUGCCAAAUAGAUAUUUUAGUAACAAUUAACAAAUAUUAACAAAGGGUUAGGUAAUGACUAGUUUGCUAUUUAUUAUGGCACCUUAUUAUAAAGUGUUACCU